GACGAACGCUGGCGGCGUGCUUAACACAUGCAAGUCGAACGGAAAGGCCCCUUCGGGGGUGCUCGAGUGGCGAACGGGUGAGUAACACGUGGGUGAUCUGCCCUGCACUUUGGGAUAAGCCUGGGAAACUGGGUCUAAUACAGGAUAGGACUACGAAUCGCAUGGGUUGUGGUGGAAAGCUUUUGCGGUGUGGGAUGGGCCCGCGGCCUAUCAGCUUGUUGGUGGGGUGAUGGCCUACCAAGGCGACGACGGGUAGCCGGCCUGAGAGGGUGUCCGGCCACACUGGGACUGAGAUACGGCCCAGACUCCUACGGGAGGCAGCAGUGGGGAAUAUUGCACAAUGGGCGCAAGCCUGAUGCAGCGACGCCGCGUGAGGGAUGACGGCCUUCGGGUUGUAAACCUCUUUCAGCAUCGACGAAGCGCAAGUGACGGUAGAUGCAGAAGAAGCACCGGCCAACUACGUGCCAGCCGCCGCUGUAA
rnacentral:rRNA from 1 species